rnacentral:rRNA from 1 species
UACGAGGGGGGCAAGCGUUGUUCGGAAUUAUUGGGCGUAAAGGGUGCGUAGGCGGUUUUGUAAGUCUUGUGUGAAAUCUUCAGGCUCAACUUGAAGACUGCACGAGAAACUGCAGGGCUUGAGUGUGGGAGAGGUGAGUGGAAUUCCUGGUGUAGCGGUGAAAUGCGUAGAUACAUGGAGGAACACCGGUGGCGAAAGCGGCUUUCUAGUUUUUACCUGACGCUGAGGCGCGAGAGCAAGGGGAGCAAACAGG